CUCGACGACGGCGAUGGAUCUCCGCCGAGACGCCCGGUGACAGGUGUCUGAACCGCCUCGUCCGGAGGCUGAUGGCUCCUUUCCCCGA
rnacentral:ncRNA from 1 species